GGGACAUCAGUACAGGUGGUGCAUGGCUGUCGUCAGCUCGUGUCGUGAGAUGUUGGGUUAAGUCCCGCAACGAGCGCAACCCUUAUUCUUAGUUGUUUCCCUUUUGGGAUUACCCUCUAAGAAGACUGCCUCGGAUAACGGGGAGGAAGGUGGGGAUGACGUCAAGUCCGCAUGCUCCUUACGUCUAGGGCUACACACGUCCUACAAUGGGGUCGACAAUGGGAUGCAAUAUCGCAAGAUGGAGCCAAUCCCCAAACGGCCUCUCAGUUCGGAUUGUAGUCUGCAACUCGACUACAUGAAGUUGGAAUCGCUAGUAAUGGCAGAUCAGCAUGCUGCCGUGAAUACGUUCCCGGGUCUU
rnacentral:rRNA from 1 species